UUGGAAUGUCUCCUAACAAGUCUCCCUUGAAGAAAGCUAACGGAGAGGUAAAGAGCGAGAACCUUUCGUUAACCGAACCUGCCAAGGACUAAAUCAAGACUUGUCAGAUUUUUCGUGGACUCGACUAGUCAUGGCGAUGUUGGCUUCAUUUUCCCAACACUUUGCUAUAGUAGCGUAUUGUAGUUUGUAUAGCUGCUCGUGUACCAGCCAAUCACAGAAGUUUUUGUUUUGUUUGUCAGCAAAAUACUCCAACAAUGAAUUUAAUUACAACUGUGGCUCAAUUUAGUAAUUAAGAAAUAUUAAUGAAUGUCAUGACAAUACUAUUUCUUCAUGUGAAGUGGAUGAUCUUAUCGUUAGUAUUGUACCGUGAAUAUUGUAAGACGAUGGUUUUGGUUUCAGUUGCAGUAGGAAAUAGCUAUUUUGUUUGGUUUUUGCUAAAGUGAGACACAGUAGAAAUAUCGUGUAUUGAGUUUCGAACCCACGAUCAACACUCACAGUGUUUAGCUAGCUUAAGAACCGCACAGUCAUGUGACUUCUCUGCAUGACCAAAGUCGUGUCAGUUUCGAAUGUUUUUAACACUAGUAGAUUAACAAUAAGAUUUUUUAUGGUGCUGAAUUUAUAUUCAUUCCAAGCAUCAAAUUCCAACUGCAAAACUAGCACACAAAAUGAGGCUAUUUUAUCAUUUUUCCUGUUCUAUAAAAUAUUAUAAUUACACCGAAACGAUAAAUUUCCAUGAAUACUACAGGAGACUGUAACCUUGUGAUUAUUUUUUUACGAUAACUCAUUAAGCCUCUCAUCUUUAUAAAAUAUUAAUAAUGAUAAUAAUGUUGAAACAGUUUCUGAUUUUUACAAUAUCAUCCAAUCUUGUAGAACUGGUUUUAUCAAGCUAGAGUUUUAACCAAGAUUGUUUAUCAUUCUGAACAACAAACACUUUCAUUAAGCCUCUUAUCUUUGUAAAAUAUUAAUAAUGAUAAUAAUGUUGAAACAGUUUCUGAUUUUUACAAUAUCAUCCAAUCUUGUAGAACUGGUUUUAUCAAGCUAGAGUUUUAACCAAGAUUGUUUAUCAUUCUGAACAACAAACACUUUCAUUAAGCCUCUCAUCUUUGUAAAAUUUUAAUAAUGAUAAUAAUGUUGAAACAGUUUCUGAUUUUUACAAUAUCAUCCAAUCUUGUAGAACUGGUUUUAUCAAGCUAGAGUUUUAACCAAGAUUGUUUAUCAUUCUGAACAACAAACACUUUCAUCGUCAGCUGUACGUUAAAGAAUAAACGUGUGUGAUAAAUGUGACUAUCUUUAGUUAAACCUCAGUAUUUCUGUAGGUGGUUCUCCUUCAUCACCAAAAUAUGCUACUAGGUGACGCUUCGUUAUCAACCGUUUAACCAGUUCUGAAUCUAUCAUGUAAAGGGAGAAACUGGGCGUUGUCAGAAAUAAGAACUUUGUCAGUUGAAUCACUAAUUAGAAUCUUGUGACUUCCAACAUUAUGGCUCUCUCGACUGGUUACCUUCUGACGUUUUAUAGUGCAGUUUUCUACACUGAUUACAUGGUGACACUUUACAGUACAGUCUUAUAGAUUGUUACAUGGUAACAUCUUACAGUAUACAUCUUUACGCUGAUUACAUGGUGACGCUUUACACUACAGUCCUCUAGACUGUUACUUGGUAAUAUCUUACAGUAUAUGUCUCUACACUUGUUACGUGGUGACGCUUUACAGUACAGUCCUCUAGACUGUUACAUGGUAAUAUCUUACAGUAUAGAUCUCUACACUGGUUACAUGGUGGCACUUUAGAGUACAGUUCUCUAUACUGUUACAUGGCGACAUCUUACAGUACAUUUUACUUUACUGGUUACAUGGUAAUACUUUAUAAUACAGUUAUCUAGACUUGUUACAUGGUGCAAUCUAACUGGUUAUAUGGUGGCUAUUAACAAUACAGUUUACUUGACUGGUUAUAUGGUGUUAUCUAAUAGGAUAGUUCUGUCGACUGAUUAUAUGGUGGAUUCUAACAAUAUAGAUAACUUGACUGAUUAUAUGGUGACAUCUAACUCUGUAGUUGACUUGACUGGUUACAUGGUGACAUCUAAUAGUGUAUCUCUCUCGACUGGUUAUAUGGUGGUAAGUAUCAAUACAGUUUACUUGACUGGUUACUUGGUAAUAUCUGCUAGUAUAGUUCUCUUGACUGGUUAUGUGGUGGCUAUUACUAAUACAGUUUAUUUGACUGGUUAUAUGGUGACAUCUAACUCUAUAGUUCUCUCGACUGGUUAUAUGGUGGCUUCUAACAAAAGAGUUUAUUUAAUGGUUACAUGGUGGCAUCUAAAAGUCUAGUUCUCUCGACUGGUUAUAUGGUGGCUUCUAACAAAAGAGUUUAUUUAAUGGUUACAUGGUGGCAUCUAAACGUCUAGUUCUCUCGACUGGUUAUAUGGUGGCUUCUAACAAAAUAGCUUAUUUAAUGGUUACAUGGUGGCAUCUAAACGUCUAGUUCUCUCGACUGUUUAUAUGGUGGCUUCUAACAGUAGAGUUCUCUAGACUGGUUAUUUAUAUGGUGGCCUCUUACGAUGAUUUCUUAAUCCUAGAAAGAACUUUUUCCAUAUUAAUUAGAAGAAUGCGAGUGUCCUCAAGUCUACAUCUUCAUAUUAUUUUUGUGGUUUAAUCACGAUUUCGAUUGACUACAUAACUUUCAACCUACUUAAUAGAAAACACAACAUUCGAGAAGUGUUCCAACGUUCAAGGAAAGCUUCAUGCAAAGAAAUCACGUGAGGUGAAUACGUCAGAUUAAAUGUUUACAGUGGUAGUACAAAACAUUAUUUUUAGCAUUCCAUGUCAUAUUCGUUAAGAAGCACGAGCUUUUUUGUGUAAAGAUAUGUAUUUGCAAUUACGCUUAAGCUUUUGGAAUAUUCUAUGUAGGGUUAACACUUGAAGCACUUUCAUGUGUAUCUCAUGUUUUUUGACAUCAGAUGUGAAAGACCAAAGUUAUUGUAGAAUAAGAUGACCCUGUCUAUGUGUAGUAAUUGUUAGUAUUUUAGUUUAAUUUUUUUAUGUUAACUCAUGAAAUCCCACGAUUUUUCUCCGAAGACGUUUCAUUCUUUGGUGAAUUUAACGAUUUAGGACUUGUAUGUUAUUUUUUACUUGUGAAAUAUGCAAAAGAAUUUGACUCAUUAUUUAGACUCGUUGAAAACUUCACAGAGAUCCUCUUUUGUGUUUUAAAAUAUAUUCUGGAAGAUUAUAGAGUUAUUAAUUACAAUGCUUUCCAAAAAGUGAAAUCUGAGACCAAAUAAGAUUCGAACCCGUGACUUUCCUUUUCUCUAAACAAGUAAGAUGAGACCGUGUGUCCGAUAAGCAGAGUCGUGGACUUGAAUCUCGGCCGUUCUCGGUUUUCACUUCAUCAGAAAAUUUGAUAACUUUAUAGAGUGUUAUACUGCCCAUAAAUUUCUCUUUUCUUAACCCUUAAUAAUAUUUACUAAUGCUUUAACUAAACAUCCAACAGUAUCUUAGUAGAAAUAGCUAAGUUAUGAAACGGCAGCGUUUUAGCUGUUUUUACAUUUUCAGAACAACAACAAAAUCAAACAUUUUAUUUGUUUCUUUCAUUGACGGAUAUUUUUAGCGAUCAAGUUGAUACGUCGUCUCUUUAGAUCCCAUUUACACAGCAUUUUUUUGGUUAAAGCGCCGUAAGUCUAACUCUGCUGAUCAGGAAUAUAACUAAUUAUGUGGUGAUUUGGUUCCGUUGCUAAUUUAAGGAUAUUUCUGAAAGGAAGAGCUCAACUUUAGUGUAAGAUUAGCUGAAAUUUUGAUUCAACCCGAUCCAAGAAUUGUUUAAGCUUGAAAUGAGUUGAAAGUUUGCUAGCGUUCAAUUUUUACCAACUCCUCAACAUUAUUGACCAACUCUUCAACAUUAUUGACUUCGAGUGGGCUAAGCCUAAUUUUUAACAGUGUAUCGAGAAGUUUUCUUAAUUUUUCUGUAUCUUAGCAGGAAAAUUAAUCAUAGAUUACUUAUUUAUAACGUCACUAAGAGAACAGUUUUUGUCUAUUAGGUGCAUGGCUAGAACACUAAAAUGUUAGGGGGGGUCUUUUUUAAAAACAACAUGUGGACCUUUUCUGAUACACAGGAAACUUAAGUGACUUACGUGAAAGUCAGAAGCUAGAAGACCUUUCAGACUUUUCAGAAUAUUGGGGGGGUCUUCGACUCUUCUUUCCCCUCUUGGCUAUGUCCCUGCUGUCAGUAACUCCCUUAGAAUUAAUCAAGUGUCGAGGAAAUAAGGAAAUGCUAUAUUCCCAAGUCGUCUCUUUGUUGUACAGUUGACUCAAAACGGAGGGUGCUGUAACAGAAUCAGGGAUAUUCCUGUAUAACUAAGAUAAUUCUUCUUUUUAUAUUGGGGCUUGUUACACGUGCUUUGGAUUGCUGAAAAAAAAAACCUCGACAAAAGUGGAUACAUUUAUACCAUAACGGCAAUUAAUGUCUUAAAGACAAUAUUAAAAGUGAAAAUAGAAUUUGCAACAGAACCAUCUCUUAGAACAUGGGCUGGGGGCGAACCAUGCCUUUCUCAGGUUCACAAAGAACAUGAGCCAGAGGCGAACCAUGCCUUUCUCAGGUUCACAAAGAACAUGGGCUGGAGGCGAACCAUGCAUAUCUCAGGUUCACAAAGAACAUCUUUACAAUUUUCCUGUUCAUUCUUUAGUUGAAUGCUUUCUUUCCGUCAUGUUUUAAUUUCUGGAAAGCCAGGUUAGAAAUGGUUUAACAACUUCACCCUGUUUUUUGUAAAUAAAUAUGUAUUUAAUAUUUUGUUUAUGAAGAAGUAGAUAACCUUUUAAUACACUUUUGUUUUGUAUUUGGAUGUUCCGUUUUAUUUUCCCAGAAUAAAAUCAAAAAUGCUUUGUA